AAGAAGGGGAGAAAAUGGAGGAGGCUACACAAACAAAAACUUGCAGUGUUUGAAGGUGUUAAACUGGAUUCAUAAUGAGAAGAAUAAAUUAAUUAAGCAACACAUCAGUCAUAAAAACAACUCAAAAAGACUCAAGAUGAGGACCAGGCAAUACUGUGAUUUUCAUCUUUGACGAACCAUCAUUCAAGAACGUCUGAGGCCAGAGAUUACCCGGGACAUGGAUUAUUAGACAUACCCUGUAAUGUCUUGGCAUGGAGUCUGACCCAGCCAUACUGGAGGUGAAGAGAAGCUUGAUCUGUUUCUCUCUGUGCAAAACUUGGAAAUGGCAGUGGAGCACCUACACAGGUGCCACCUGCAUGACGCUGUAUUGUGCUGCUCUUCACCAUCUUGGGCUUGGCAGCUCCACCAGCUCAGGAGUGAACCCGCUACAUGCUGCACAUUCUGAUCCCUUCAAGUGUCCUAUCUAACUUCACACGUUUAACCAGAGCACCCAGCUUGACCAUCAACAAAUGAGCUGGAAAUUCCUCAAGGGAAGGAAGAUCUCUCUCCUGCUACCUGGGAGUUUGUUCAUCGUUUCUGAUGGAUAAUGGGGAAGGAUCUCCUGAUCUGUAGCUGUCCAGGGAAUCCCUUUUCUAGAGGAAUUUUUGAGCACAUGGCUGCUCUGUCAAGUGGGAACUACUCCCAUCUCCAGUCUGCCAUCCAUUACUAAACAAUGCCUGCCAAUUACUUUUUGUGCCAGUGAAACGUUUAUGUGACAACUGGAAAAAAAACCCUUUCUGUGUACCAGUGUUGGAAUGUGAUGUCCCGUUCUCUGUGGAGAUUAGCUCACGUUGCCUUAUUUCUGGAUGACAGCCAUGUGAAAGAGCUGCAGACGUUACAAGGGGAUGCAGUUUUUAAUUAAAAAUUAUGAUCUGCUCUUAUCCCAUUAUAAUGCAAAUUGAAUUUGCAAAUUUUUGCAGAGUACCUAUGUUUAGGAAGCAGUAUUUUCACUGCAGUAUUUCUUGGACCUGCUAUGAUUAGUAAAUACUGGAUUGCAUAGAUGGUCACCCAGAUUAAAGACAUUGGGAUCACAUGAGGGAAAAUUCACUGAACCUGCUUCAUAUAACACUCAGACACCUCACUCCAUGUACAGAGAGAUUUUACCAUCCAAACCAAAGGCACGGACAUGUACUAGUUAUGACCCAUUUAGCUGUUCUCUGGAGGAUUUUGUGUCUGCAUCAAAAAAAGAAGAGCAGAGAAGCUGAGAGUGAGGAAAUAGUCCGAACUGGAGACAAAUGAAGUGUGGAAAGCUGAGGGCUGGAGGGCUGAGUCCUGGCUGAAGCUGACCCAGAGCUGUGCAAAUGAAACCAUCUCCUGCAGCUUGGCUCCUCCUGGACCUGGGAAACAGGACCUUUGUAGGCCUUGCAGCAGUGAUGGAGACUCAGGUCCUAUUCAAGAUAGUGCAACUAACCUGAUUUAAGUAACAGACCUACUGUAACUAUAACACCACCUUGGAUAACGCCUGUAGGUCCAAUGCUGAUACGCUAUGCCUAUUACUGAUUUGGAAAGAGCAAACUCGGUAUUCUCCAUCUGACCUGAGGAAAUACCAAAAUAUGCUUUAGUGUGGAAGAAAAGAUUCUGACUAAUUAUAAAAUUUGAAAUACAGGCAGAAUCAUGUUUGCCUAGCUCAUCUUGACAGUCCUUUUUUGCUGGUUCUUUUUUCAUAUGGGGUGCUGCUGGGUGUGAGCUGCAUGUAACAACCAGGUGGGGUAGUCUGGAUAAUGAUUAAACAGCAAAUCAGCACAUUGCUGCUUACUGAGAUUUCAAUGCUAAAUGAUUUGGCAAAGCCAAAUUUCAUGAAUCUCAAGCCAAGUUCCUAAGAUCUUGUUGGCAAGAAAAGAGGCUAAUACAUCCAUCAGUUAUAAAAGGUGGCUGUGAAGAAUUUGUCCAUGCCCUCGCACUGGUGAGAAAUUUCCAUAUGCAGUGCAUAGUAGUCGAUGUCAUUAUAUCACAUAGGCUGUAACCAAAAUUAGUGGCAGAGCUUGUUUUUAUUAAGAGUGUUCUACCAUUAAUAGAAUAUAAAUAUGACUAAGUGUAAUGGCUUAAAUCCCUGACAGCCUCAGCUUUGCCAGCAGUGGAUUUCCAAGCAUGUUCUGCUGGGAAUUUGGAACACUGGCUGAGCACAGAUCAUUUAACAUGCCGCAGACGGUGCCUCAAGAUUUCCUGUGCACACGUGCGCAAAGGAGUGAUGUUUGGGAAAAGCUUAAUUUUUUCUACCUUCCUGGAGACACUAGUGGAAGAUGAAUUCUGCCUGUUGUACUCAGGGUGUCAAGCACUUUGCAGAGGUCCCAUAAAGGCACCUCAUCACCUCUGCCAUAACACCUCAUAGCCUUUUGUUUGCUCUUCUCUUUUUAUGGUCCUGUAGGUAAAAGGGUUCAUCUUAUUUAAAUAUCCCUGAGGCCACUAGCAAGAAACUAUUGAACUGCAUAAAAAAAAACUUGAAUACAAAAACAGAUGCAUGUGCUAGCAUUGGGGAUAAAUGUGUUAUGAUACAGGGCAAAACUCUUCUCCAGCUCUGUUGAACAACAAUGCAAAGCAGUCCCCAUGCAGCCAGAUUUCUGAAUUGAUGCCAGGCUGAAGGAGAGCAGCAUUUGUCCUAGGAUUAUCAUCAGGCUCCUUGCAAGCCCAUUUUCACUUAUUCCAUGUGGAUGGGGACUUGUUGACAAUUCCCUGAAUUUCAAUUUGGAAGAAAGAGUGUCAUGUUUGACCUUGUAUCUCCAACACCAUGUGUCUGCCUGCCUCGCCCACAUACUCUGUAUUGAUCCUGUUCCCUUUCAUUUAAGUUACAUAUGAUGUAAGCUAUAGUAGCAACACCUGCUCUUUUUUCUGUUUUGUUUUUGGCUUAGAGCAUUAUCAAGCAGUCCAUGGUUUUAGUUUCUGCAUUUGCUUCACUGCUUUCAUAAAACUGUCUUGGCAAAUUUGGAUGACCGAUAAGGGGUGAAACUUCUCUCACCCUCAGCUGCUCUGCUCUGAAUUUUUUAAAUCCCUUUGGACUGAACAAAUGCAGAAGAUAUUAUUGACAAUUUUCAACUAGUUCAAAGAUUUUUCAUACAUUAAUACUCAGAAAGGCAGAGUUUUAUCUGAACCUAAUACAAAUGCUCUGAAAACUUCUGAAGGCAUCACAAAUAUGAAAAUACCUUUCUUACUUUCUCUAGGAGGUGGGGACAACUCCUGGCAGUGACAAUAGCAUUUCUUACAAUAAAUGAAUGUGUGCAUUCUCCAGUCACUGGUAGAAGACAUCCUAGGGCUAAUUAUACUGAUAUCCAUUUAGUAUUGAAAGUACCUACUCAUAGUGACAGAAGCCACAUGUGGGCCACACAUGGGUGGUGUACAGUACCCAGCUGAAGCAGUGGGUGCCCCUAAAUAUGUUGGUUGUAAAACUUCCGUGAUCUAAAAAAUCAUUUAAAAAUUGAUCAUCUCUAAUUUUGAGAUUAUAGUCCUCAAAGUCAGAGAAGGAUUAAAAGUGAGAGAAACAAAGACAUUACCAAGGAAUAGCUGGGUAGUAAGUUCCCCUGGAAGGCAUUAGGAGUGACAGACACUCAAGUCUAAAAACUGAUACCUGAGAAAGGCAGCAUAUAGAGGGGAAUGAGGGGCUACCUUGACAAGAAGUAACCUGGCAAGUUUUAACUCUGCUCUGAUUUGCUUUUUAUUUUCCAUCAUGUUUGAGACCUUCCCCCCACCCCCCACCCCCC